CUGGGCACAGGCCUGUUGCAUUCAGAGAGCUAGCAGCUGGGUUUGGAGCCAGACUCUAGCCUGAGUUUAAGUAGCUCCAACCCGGUGCUGGAAGCUAAAUGUCACCCAGGAUGAUGAAAUCAGUCCAUCCUCAUCCACAGGAGGCCAUCUGACAGCAUCAUGUGUUCAGUGUUGAACUUGACCUUGCCUGCAAGGCUCCCUGUUUUUCUAUCAACUGCACCAGCAGAGAAGACAACCGAAGUUAUGGUGUGUUUGGGCAGUGAGACCAUCUCCCUAACCUGGCUGAGCCACCAUGCUGCACUGGUGGCAUAUAGAGGUUCCAGGGCCAGGGAUUGAAUCUGCACCUCUACAAUGACCCAAGCUGUUCCAGCUGGAUUCUUUACCCACUGUGCCAUGGCGGGAGCUCCUGUGUGGUCUUUCCUUAUAAAGGUGAUGUUACUCAUCUCUCAAACCGUGACUUCUUUCGCUUUGCUGCCUUUCCUCGCCUCAGGAAGAAGCUGGGUGUUUAUGAAGUUGGGUCCUUCACUUAACCUGUUACAUCUUCACUUCUCAUGGAGCAUGCACAAGGAAAGGAGCUUUGCUGAAUAAGGAAGAGAAGAAAAGGCACGAGGAAAGGAAGAGAGAAGAGAAUGGGGAAAAAGGGGAGGCUGGAGAAACAGAGAGGAAGCAGGAAGGGGGGAGGGAAGGAACUUCUAGGUUCAAGAUUUCCAAUGAAUCUCUAAGAAAAAGUCAGCCAGUAUCUAACUCAGCCACUUUGAGGCUCUGCUGAUGGAAUGAAUGUCCUUGAAGUGGCCUUUGCAACACAUAUUACUCUACAGACAAUGACAGACUAGGCUCCUGGUCCACUUAAGGAAGCUUUCGAGGGGCUUCUGACCUAAGAAAGGAUGGGCUCACUAACAGACUGAAGCAUGGUUAACAGUCUGGGAUGAAUAAGAUGUAAUUUUGUAUUCAAUAAACCUGUUACAUAUUCAUUUCCAAAUGUGCCUGGAAUCAAACCAGGCCAUCAGAAGUCAGCAUCACCAAGCAAUUUUAUCCUUCAUCCUGCGUUCACUUUUCAGAUCUGACACAUUUCCAUUCCCCUUUGAACUUGCAAUCUCGGGGCCUCUCAGACAGGAGACAUUUCCAUUCUUUCCAUUCUCAAUUCUCCGAUCUCUUAGAGAUGAGGCAAUUCUGUUUUCACUGUACUGAUUCAAGAAAUACUGAUAGGAAAAAAUAAAUACCUGGCUUGGCUUCCCACCCUCUCUAGGAGAAACCUAAGCUGUUCUGGGAACAUUAAUUACAAAGAAUGAGUGGCUGCUCUUGUUUGUUUGUUUUGCUUUUUAG